rnacentral:rRNA from 1 species
UACAGAGGGGGCAAGCGUUGUUCGGAAUUACUGGGCGUAAAGGGCGCGUAGGCGGCCUUCUAAGUCGAACGUGAAAUCCCUGGGCUCAACCCAGGAACUGCGUCCGAUACUGGGAGGCUUGAAUCCGGGAGAGGGAUGUGGAAUUCCAGGUGUAGCGGUGAAAUGCGUAGAUAUCUGGAGGAACACCGGUGGCGAAGGCGGCAUCCUGGACCGGUAUUGACGCUGAUGCGCGAAAGCCAGGGGGGCAAACGGG